GAUGAACGCUGACAGAAUGCUUAACACAUGCAAGUCUACUUGAAUUUGGGUUUUUUAACUUAGAUUUGGGUGGCGGACGGGUGAGUAACGCGUAAAGAACUUGCCUCACAGUUAGGGACAACAUUUGGAAACGAAUGCUAAUACCUGAUAUUAUGAAUAUAUGGCAUCAUAUAAUUAUGAAAGCUAUAAGCGCUGUGAGAGAGCUUUGCGUCCCAUUAGCUAGUUGGAGAGGUAACGGCUCACCAAGGCGAUGAUGGGUAGCCGGCCUGGGAGGGUGAACGGCCACAAGGGGACUGGGACACGGCCCUUACUCCUACGGGAGGCAGCAGUGGGGAAUAUUGGACAAGGGACCAAGAGUCUGAUCCAGCAAUUCUGUGUGCACGAUGACGUUUUUCGGAAUGUAAAGUGCUUUCAGUUGGGAAGAAAAAAAUGACGGUACCAACAGAAGAAGUGACGGCUAAAUACGUG
rnacentral:rRNA from 1 species